rnacentral:rRNA from 1 species
GACGUAGGGCGCGAGCGUUGUCCGGAUUUAUUGGGCGUAAAGAGCUCGUAGGCGGCUUGUCGCGUCGUUCGUGAAAACCUGCAGCUCAACUGCAGGCUUGCGGUCGAUACGGGCAGGCUAGAGUUCGGUAGGGGAGACUGGAAUUCCCGGUGUAGCGGUGAAAUGCGCAGAUAUCGGGAAGAACACCCGUGGCGAAGGCGGCUCUCUGGGACGGUACUGACGCUGAGACGCGAAAGCGUGGGGAGCGAACAGG